GGGUAGAAUUCCAGGUGUAGCGGUGAAAUGCGUAGAGAUCUGGAGGAAUACCGGUGGCGAAGGCGGCCCCCUGGACGAGACUGACGCUCAGGUGCGAAAGCGUGGGGAGCAAACAGCGAUUAGAUACCCUGGUAGUCCACGCCGUAAACGAUGUCGACUUGGAGGUUGUGCCCUUGAGGCGUGGCUACCGGAGCUAACGCGUUAAGUCGACCGCCUGGGGAGUACGGCCGCAAGGUUAAAACUCAAAUGAAUUGACGGGGGCCCGCACAAGCGGUGGAGCAUGUGGUUUAAUUCGAUGCAACGCGAAGAACCUUACCUGGUCUUGACAUCCACAGAACUUUCCAGAGAUGGAUUGGUGCCUUCGGGAACUGUGAGACAGGUGCUGCAUGGCUGUCGUCAGCUCGUGUUGUGAAAUGUUGGGUUAAGUCCCGCAACGAGCGCAACCCUUAUCUUUUGUUGCCAGCGGUCCGGCCGGGAACUCAAAGGAGACUGCCAGUGAUAAACUGGAGGAAGGUGGGGAUGACGUCAAGUCAUCAUGGCCCUUACGACCAGGGCUACACACGUGCUACAAAUGGCGCGUACAAAGAGAAGCGACCUCGCGAGAGCAAGCGGACCUCAUAAAGUGCGUCGUAGUCCGGAUUGGAGUCUGCAACUCGACUCCAUGAAGUUCGGAAUCGCUAGUAAAUCGUGGAUCAGAAUGCCACGGUGAAUACGUUCCCGGGCCUUGUACACACCGCCCGUCACACCAUGGGAGUGGGUUGCAAAAGAAGUAGGUAGCUUAACCUUCGGGAGGGCGCUUACCACUUUGUGAUUCAUGACUGGGGUGAAGUCGUAACAAGGUAACCAAGGGCGAAUC
rnacentral:rRNA from 1 species